rnacentral:rRNA from 1 species
UACGAAGGGGGCUAGCGUUGCUCGGAAUCACUGGGCGUAAAGGGUGCGUAGGCGGGUCUUUAAGUCAGGGGUGAAAUCCCGAGGCUCAACCUCGGAACUGCCUUUGAUACUGGGGAUCUCGAGUCCGGGAGAGGUGAGUGGAACUGCGAGUGUAGAGGUGAAAUUCGUAGAUAUUCGCAGGAACACCAGUGGCGAAGGCGGCUCACUGGCCCGGUACUGACGCUGAGGUGCGAAAGCGUGGGGAGCAAACAGG